rnacentral:rRNA from 1 species
CCUACGGGAGGCAGCAGUGGGGAAUAUUGGGCAAUGGGCGCAAGCCUGACCCAGCAACGCCGCGUGAAGGAAGAAGGCUUUCGGGUUGUAAACUUCUUUUAUCAGGGACGAAGCAAGUGACGGUACCUGAUGAAUAAGCCACGGCUAACUACGUGCCAGCAGCCGCGGUAAUACGUAGGUGGCAAGCGUUAUCCGGAUUUACUGGGUGUAAAGGGCGUGUAGGCGGGAGUGCAAGUCAGAUGUGAAAACUAUGGGCUCAACCCAUAGCCUGCAUUUGAAACUGUACUUCUUGAGUGCUGGAGAGGCAAUCGGAAUUCCGUGUGUAGCGGUGAAAUGCGUAGAUAUACGGAGGAACACCAGUGGCGAAGGCGGUCUGCUGGACAGCAACUGACGCUGAGGCGCGAAAGCGUGGGGAGCAAACAGGAUUAGAUACCCGAGUAGUC